AACGCUGGCGGCGUGCUUAACACAUGCAAGUCGAACGGUGAUGUCAGAGCUUGCUCUGGCGGAUCAGUGGCGAACGGGUGAGUAACACGUGAGUAACCUGCCCCCGACUCUGGGAUAACUGCUAGAAAUGGUAGCUAAUACCGGAUAUGACGAUUGGCCGCAUGGUCUGGUCGUGGAAAGAAUUUCGGUUGGGGAUGGACUCGCGGCCUAUCAGGUUGUUGGUGAGGUAAUGGCUCACCAAGCCUACGACGGGUAGCCGGCCUGAGAGGGUGACCGGCCACACUGGGACGAGACACGGCCCAGACUCCUACGGGAGGCAGCAGUGGGGAAUAUUGCACAAUGGGCGAAAGCCUGAUGCAGCAACGCCGCGUGAGGGAUGACGGCCUUCGGGUUGUAAACCUCUUUUAGUAGGGAAGAAGCGAAAGUGACGGUACCUNCAGAAAAAGCACCGGCUAACUACGUGCCAGCANCCGCGGUAAUACGUAGGGUGCAAGCGUUGUCCGGAAUUAUUGGGCGUAAAGAGCUCGUAGGCGGUUUGUCGCGUCUGCUGUGAAAUCCCGAGGCUCAACCUCGGGUCUGCAGUGGGUACGGGCAGACUAGAGUGCGGUAGGGGAGAUUGGAAUUCCUGGUGUAGCGGUGGAAUGCGCAGAUAUCAGGAGGAACACCGAUGGCGAAGGCAGAUCUCUGGGCCGUAACUGACGCUGAGGAGCGAAAGCAUGGGGAGCGAACAGGAUUAGAUACCCUGGUAGUCCAUGCCGUAAACGUUGGGAACUAGAUGUGGGGACCAUUCCACGGUCUCCGUGUCGCAGCUAACGCAUUAAGUUCCCCGCCUGGGGAGUACGGCCGCAAGGCUAAAACUCAAAGGAAUUGACGGGGGCCCGCACAAGCGGCGGAGCAUGCGGAUUAAUUCGAUGCAACGCGAAGAACCUUACCAAGGCUUGACAUAUACCGGAAACAUGCAGAAAUGUGUGCCCCGCAAGGUCGGUAUACAGGUGGUGCAUGGUUGUCGUCAGCUCGUGUCGUGAGAUGUUGGGUUAAGUCCCGCAACGAGCGCAACCCUCGUUCUAUGUUGCCAGCACGUAAUGGUGGGAACUCAUAGGAGACUGCCGGGGUCAACUCGGAGGAAGGUGGGGAUGACGUCAAAUCAUCAUGCCCCUUAUGUCUUGGGCUUCACGCAUGCUACAAUGGCCGGUACAAAGGGCUGCGAUACCGUAAGGUGGAGCGAAUCCCAAAAAGCCGGUCUCAGUUCGGAUUGAGGUCUGCAACUCGACCUCAUGAAGUCGGAGUCGCUAGUAAUCGCAGAUCAGCAACGCUGCGGUGAAUACGUUCCCGGGCCUUGUACACACCGCCCGUCAAGUCAUGAAAGUCGGUAACACCCGAAGCCAGUGGCCUAACCGCAAGGGAGGAGCUGUCGAAGGUGGGAUCGGUGAUUAGGACUAAGUCGUAACAAGGUAGCCGUACCGGAAGGNNNGGNUGGAUCACCUCCUUUCU
rnacentral:rRNA from 1 species